UACGGAGGGUGCAAGCGUUGUUCGGAAUCACUGGGCGUAAAGCGCGUGUAGGCGGCUAUCUAAGUCUGAUGUGAAAGCCCUGGGCUCAACUCAGGAAGUGCAUUGGAUACUGGAUAGCUGGAGUACCGGAGAGGAGGGUGGAAUUCCUGGUGUAGCGGUGAAAUGCGUAGAUAUCAGGAGGAACACCGGUGGCGAAGGCGUCCCUCUGGCCGGAUACUGACGCUGAGACGCGAAAGCGUGGGGAGCAAA
rnacentral:rRNA from 1 species